rnacentral:rRNA from 1 species
GAGUUUGAUUCUGGCUCAGAACGAACGCUGGCGGCGCGUCUUAAGCAUGCAAGUCGAACGGUAAGGGAGAGCUUGCUCUCCCCUAGAGUGGCGGACUGGUGAGUAACGCGUAGGUGACCUACCCUGAAGAUGGGGAUAGCUAGUAGAAAUAUUAGAUAAUACCGAAUAAGCUCAUUUGCAUAAAGGCAGAUGAGGAAAGGAGCUACGGCUCCGCUUUAGGAUGGGCCUGCGUCCCAUUAGCUAAGUUGGUGAGGUAAAGGCUUACCAAGGCAACGAUGGGUAUCCGGCCUGAGAGGGUGAACGGACACAUUGGGACUGAGAUACGGCCCAAACUCCUACGGGAGGCAGCAGCUAAGAAUCUUCCGCAAUGGACGAAAGUCUGACGGAGCGACGCCGUGUGAAUGAAGAAGGCUGAAAAGUUGUAAAAUUCUUUUGCAGAUGAAGAAUAAGGAUAGGAGGGAAUGCCUAU